UACGUAGGGAGCAAGCGUUGUCCGGAAUUACUGGGCGUAAAGGGUGCGUAGGCGGCGCAGUUAGUCAGAAGUGAAAUAUCGGGGCUCAACCCCGGCCUGCCGUCGGAACUGGGUGCCUUGAGUGGGCGAGAAGUAUGCGGAAUGCGUGGUGUAGCGGUGAAAUGCAUAGAUAUCGCGCAGAACUCCGAUUGCGAAGGCAGCAUGCCGGCUCCACACUGACGCUGAGGCACGAAAGCGUGGGUAUCGAACAGG
rnacentral:rRNA from 1 species